rnacentral:tRNA from 1 species
GGGGCGGUAGCUCAGCUGGUUAGAGCCCCGAACUCAUAAUUCGGUCGUCGCGGGUUCAAGUCCCGACCGCCCUACCA